rnacentral:rRNA from 1 species
CCCUUAGAUGUUCUGGGCCGCACACGCGCUACACUGAAGGAGGCAGCGUGUACUCCUGGAUCGAAAGAUUUGGGUAACCCGCGAAUCUCCUUCGUGCUAGGGAUUGGGGUUUGCAAUUAUCCUUCAUGAACGAGGAAUUCCCAGUAAGUGCAAGUCAUAAGCUUGCGCUGACUACGUCCCUGCCCUUUGUACACACCGCCCGUCGCUACUACCGAUUGAAUGAUUUAGUGAGGACUUCGGACUGGGACCGAUGCGGCUUUCGGGCUGCGUCGGUAUUCUGGAAAGAUGUCCAAACUGUAUCAUUUAGAGGAAGUAAAANUCGUANCA